rnacentral:lncRNA from 1 species
AUGUUUUCUGCAAUGACGGAGAUGCUCAGCCACAUGGUGGAGGGCAGCACCACCGACAAUGGGGAAAUGCAACACGACCCUGUUUUUUUCAUCCACAACUGCGUAGGACUGAACCCAGUAAUUCACCAGGUCAUCUGCAAUCAUAUGCUCUCACUGCACAGUGAGAUAGGAAAAGGCAGACUACUUCAAGAAUACAAUCUCUCAAAAUGGUACUUCCAAGGACUAUUCUACAAAUUGGUAAGGACAUGUACUCAAAAGGUACAGGUGCAGAAUGGCUGAGCUGAGGAUAAAGGACAAGCACAUGGCAACGUGGCACCACCUUCUGCUUCUGCAGUGGGAAGUGAUGCAGCCUUGAAGGAAUUUCCAGGACAUAUGUUCCAGCUGCAUCUGCCUCCUUGUCCUCCGUUUCCCUGUCUUCCGUUUCAGAAUUUUGUUCCAGACUUCAAUCCAGUCCAACACACUGCUAAUCUCCUCUUUAAUAUCCUCUGUGCUUUAAAGCAGUAGUUCUGAGACCUUCUCAAAAGAUAGGGAAAUGCCAUAAGCCCCAUUUUACAAAUGGGAAACAGCAGCUGAAGCACGAGCAGAAGUAAUCUGCUGCAGAACUGGGAUUUCAACACAUUUCUAAGAACGGAGUGAAUCAGGCAGUAACCGCAAAAUUACCUUUCAUCUUGGAAUUCUACUGUCUGGACUCCUGCCCUAUCUUGAGUGAAAUGGAUGUAAUCUUUAGAGUUUUAAGGAUGUGAAUCUUCUGAGGUUCAAACAUAUCUCCAUUUGAAAUGUAGGCUAUCGGUGUCCCCACAUUUUGUUUUGUUUUGUUUACUGAAUUAGGAUCAGUCACUGAAUGCCAGUUAGUCUUAAUUUUGCAUUAGAUCACCUCCUCUUGUAAGGUUUUAUUACUUCUACUUCAGAAGAUAUCAGCUGGACAUAAUGGUUACUCCUUCUUCCUGGUGAUGGUUGUAAUAUGGGACUCAAUAUUUUCAUCUAUUGUGUCUGCAGUGGAGAACAGUGAGAUAUUUGAGAUCAACAGUAGUUGUUUCCCAGAUGUUAUGAAUAUCUUAGUCUUCUUUAAGUAAUUUUCUAAGUACCUAGAGUUUUUAUGAUAACUUCAUGGGUAAGACGAUAUGAGUAUAGCAUUGGACAGGAGACUAGGACCAAACUGGUACAAAAUAAACUGAGAUGGAUGCUUCA